rnacentral:rRNA from 11 species
ACACGGUGGAUGCCCUGGCAGUCAGAGGCGAUGAAGGACGUGCUAAUCUGCGAAAAGCGUCGGUAAGGUGAUAUGAACCGUUAUAGCCGACGAUGUCCGAAUGGGGAAACCCAGUGUGUUUCGACACACUAUCGUUAACUGAAUACAUAGGUUAACGAGGCGAACCGAGGGAACUGAAACAUCUAAGUACCUCGAGGAAAAGAAAUCAACCGAGAUUCCCCCAGUAGCGGCGAGCGAACGGGGAACAGCCCAGAACCUGAAUCAGUUUGUGCAUUAGUGGAAGCGUCUGGAAAGUCGCAGGGUACAGGGUGAUACUCCCGUACACAAAAACACACAUGCUGUGAGCUCGAUGAGUAAGGCGGGACACGUGGUAUCCUGUCUGAAUAUGGGGGGACCAUCCUCCAAGGCUAAAUACUACUGACUGACCGAUAGUGAACUAGUACCGUGAGGGAAAGGCGAAAAGAACCCCGGAGA